rnacentral:rRNA from 1 species
GAUGAACGCUGGCGGCGUGCCUAAUACAUGCAAGUCGAGCGAACAGAUGAGGAGCUUGCUCCUCUGACGUUAGCGGCGGACGGGUGAGUAACACGUGGAUAACCUACCUAUAAGACUGGGAUAACUUCGGGAAACCGGAGCUAAUACCGGAUAAUAUAUUGAACCGCAUGGUUCAAUAGUGAAAGACGGUUUUGCUGUCACUUAUAGAUGGAUCCGCGCCGCAUUAGCUAGUUGGUAAGGUAACGGCUUACCAAGGCAACGAUGCAUAGCCGACCUGAGAGGGUGAUCGGCCACACUGGAACUGAGACACGGUCCAGACUCCUACGGGAGGCAGCAGUAGGGAAUCUUCCGCAAUGGGCGAAAGCCUGACGGAGCAACGCCGCGUGAGUGAUGAAGGUCUUCGGAUCGUAAAACUCUUUUAUUAGGGAAGAACAAAUGUGUAAGUAACUAUGCACGUCUUGACGGUACCUAAUCAGAAAGCCACGGCUAACUACGUG